rnacentral:rRNA from 1 species
GACGAACGCUGGCGGCGUGCUUAACACAUGCAAGUCGAACGGAAAGGCCCUGCUUUUGUGGGGUGCUCGAGUGGCGAACGGGUGAGUAACACGUGAGUAACCUGCCCUUGACUUUGGGAUAACUUCAGGAAACUGGGGCUAAUACCGGAUAGGAGCUCCUGCUGCAUGGUGGGGGUUGGAAAGUUUCGGCGGUUGGGGAUGGACUCGCGGCUUAUCAGCUUGUUGGUGGGGUAGUGGCUUACCAAGGCUUUGACGGGUAGCCGGCCUGAGAGGGUGACCGGCCACAUUGGGACUGAGAUACGGCCCAGACUCCUACGGGAGGCAGCAGUGGGGAAUAUUGCACAAUGGGCGGAAGCCUGAUGCAGCAACGCCGCGUGCGGGAUGACGGCCUUCGGGUUGUAAACCGCUUUCGCCUGUGACGAAGCGUGAGUGACGGUAAUGGGUAAAGAAGCACCGGCUAACUACGUGCCAGCAGCCGCGGUGAUACGUAGGGUGCGAGCGUUGUCCGGAUUUAUUGGGCGUAAAGGGCUCGUAGGUGGUUGAUCGCGUCGGAAGUGUAAUCUUGGGGCUUAACCCUGAGCGUGCUUUCGAUACGGGUUGACUUGAGGAAGGUAGGGGAGAAUGGAAUUCCUGGUGGAGCGGUGGAAUGCGCAGAUACCAGGAGGAACACCAGUGGCGAAGGCGGUUCUCUGGGCCUUUCCUGACGCUGAGGAGCGAAAGCGUGGGGAGCGAACAGGCUUAGAUACCCUGGUAGUCCACGCUGUAAACGGUGGGUACUAGGUGUGGGGUCCAUUCCACGGGUUCCGUGCCGUAGCUAACGCUUUAAGUACCCCGCCUGGGGAGUACGGCCGCAAGGCUAAAACUCAAAGGAAUUGACGGGGCCCCGCACAAGCGGCGGAGCAUGCGGAUUAAUUCGAUGCAACGCGUAGAACCUUACCUGGGUUUGACAUGGAUCGGGAGUGCUCAGAGAUGGGUGUGCCUCUUUUGGGGUCGGUUCACAGGUGGUGCAUGGCUGUCGUCAGCUCGUGUCGUGAGAUGUUGGGUUAAGUCCCGCAACGAGCGCAACCCUUGUUCACUGUUGCCAGCACGUUAUGGUGGGGACUCAGUGGAGACCGCCGGGGUCAACUCGGAGGAAGGUGGGGAUGACGUCAAGUCAUCAUGCCCCUUAUGUCCAGGGCUUCACGCAUGCUACAAUGGCUGGUACAGAGAGUGGCGAGCCUGUGAGGGUGAGCGAAUCUCGGAAAGCCGGUCUCAGUUCGGAUUGGGGUCUGCAACUCGACCUCAUGAAGUCGGAGUCGCUAGUAAUCGCAGAUCAGCAACGCUGCGGUGAAUACGUUCCCGGG